rnacentral:rRNA from 1 species
GGCCAGUUCGUGCAAGAGGAGGGGGAAAUGCGUAGGAUGCGUGUGUUAUGCGGAUUUUUUUGGGUGGAAGGGGGCGUAGGUGGAGUGGUAAGUCAUUGUGGAAAGUUUGCAGCUUAGCGGUAAAAUGGCCGUUGAGACUGCCGGUCGUGGGUGUAAAUGAGGUAGGCGGAAUGCGUUGUGUAGCGGUGAAAUGCUUAGAUAUGACGCAGAACUCCGAUUGCGAAGGCAGCUUACUGGGAUGCAACUGACACUGAGGCACGAAAGCGUGGGUAUCAAACAGGAUUAGAUACCCUGGUAGUC